GACGUAGGUGGCGAACGUUAUCCGGAAUUAUUGGGCGUAAAGGGUGCGUAGGUGGCUUGAAAAGUUAUCAGUGGCAAAUCGAGGCUUAACCUCGCGGAAACUGGUAAUACUGUUUGGCUCGAGUGCAGGAGAGGUUAACGGAACUCUAUGUGGAGCGGUAAAAUGCACAGAUAUAUAGAAGAACACCAAUAACGGCGAAGGCAGUUAACUAUUCUGUUACUGACACUGAGGCACGAAAGCGUGGGGAGCAAAACGG
rnacentral:rRNA from 1 species